rnacentral:rRNA from 1 species
UACGUAGGGUCCGAGCGUUGUCCGGAAUUAUUGGGCGUAAAGGGCUCGUAGGCGGUUCGUCACGUCGGGAGUGAAAACUCGGAGCUUAACUCCGAGCCUGCUUCCGAUACGGGCAGACUAGAGGUAGGCAGGGGAGAGCGGAACUCCUGGUGUAGCGGUGGAAUGCGCAGAUAUCAGGAAGAACACCGGUGGCGAAGGCGGAUCUCUGGACCAGUUCUGACACUGAUGAGCGAAAGCCAGGGGAGCAAACAGG